CUGCCACACAGAGGCAGAGUUGAGGCUGCUUCCAAAGGGAAAGAGUGAAGGAGGAAAAUCCUUUUUGCACCUUUACAUUUCCUGAGGAUGAGCUGAACACUAAACCAGAUGAACAAGCCACAGGAGCCCAGCACUUGCCCACCUGGGGAUGACCUUUUGAAGGAUCACUUGGAAGAGAGCAGAAACUUGGCCAGGUGAUGAUUCCAAGCUCUGCAGUCCCUGGAUCAGACAACUCAAAUGGAGAGCUCAGCUUCAAAGAAUCAAACAGAGCAGCACAGAAACAGCUCCAGAGCAUCUGAGGAGGCAGAGAAUGACACUCCUGACCCUGGUGAGGCCAGCAAGGCACACAGAGCUUCCAAAGUCGUCAGCUUUGAGCACAGGGGAACAUUUCUCCUUCUGUCUCUUCUAUUUUCCAGCAAAAAGAGAAGCACAGUGGUAGCAUGGCAAGAGAACAAAACUGUUCUUCCAGGAGGAACCAACAUGUCCAGCCAAAUAUCCCCUCAUUGACACUGGUGGGCUCUGAGUCAGGCUCACAAGAGGAUGAACAGCACAGAAUUUUCCAUGGAAAAUUCUCCCCUGAUGGAUAUUCACUCUCCUGGGAUGGGAUUAGGAUGGCAGGAACUUGCUUGGACCCCAAAAAAACAUCCAAACUCCCUGAGACUGGAAGAAUUUAGAUCUCACUGUGGCCUUUAUUAUUUACAUUUGUUUUUUCCUGGCCACGUGGUUUUGCCUUUUUACAGUGGGUGUGAAUUUGCCACACUUGUUCUACCAGACAGCUUGUAAAGGUUUGCU